rnacentral:rRNA from 1 species
AACGAACGCUGGCGGCAGGCCUAAUACAUGCAAGUCGAGCGCGCCCUUCGGGGUGAGCGGCGGACGGGUGAGUAACGCGUGGGAAUGUACCCUUUUCUACGGAAUAGCCAUUGGAAACGAUGAGUAAUACCGUAUACGCCCUUUGGGGGAAAGAUUUAUCGGAGAAGGAUCAGCCCGCGUUAGAUUAGAUAGUUGGUGGGGUAAUGGCCUACCAAGUCUACGAUCUAUAGCUGGUUUUAGAGGAUGAUCAGCAACACUGGGACUGAGACACGGCCCAGACUCCUACGGGAGGCAGCAGUGGGGAAUCUUAGACAAUGGGCGCAAGCCUGAUCUAGCCAUGCCGCGUGAGUGAAGAAGGCCUUAGGGUCGUAAAGCUCUUUCGCCAGGGAUGAUAAUGACAGUACCUGGUAAAGAAACCCCGGCUAACUCCGUGCCAGCAGCCGCGGUAAUACGGAGGGGGUUAGCGUUGUUCGGAAUUACUGGGCGUAAAGCGCACGUAGGCGGAUUAGAAAGUAUGGGGUGAAAUCCCAGGGCUCAACCCUGGAACUGCCUCAUAAACUCCUAAUCUAGAGUUCGAGAGAGGUGAGUGGAAUUCCGAGUGUAGAGGUAAAAUUCGUA